UCACUUUGGCAAUGCAUAUGCUAAAAUUGGAAUGAUUCAGAGAAUAUUAGUAUGGUCCCUGUGCAAAAAUGACUCAAAAAUUCUUGAAGCAUUUUGUACUUUU